rnacentral:lncRNA from 1 species
CUAAUUAAUAAAAUGUUGAAGAUAAGAAUAGUUGAAAAAAGUUAGGGAUAUAAAUGCUAUAAUGAGCAAAGAUUGAGGAUCUUGAGUGCAAUUAACAUGUGGUUUGAUUGAUAAAAGUCAUGAUGUGAAUAUAAUUAUUCAUUUAUUAAUUUAUAUUUUCCUUAUUUCCAUUUUAACCCUCUAUUUUUCUUGCUACCACUCUUGACCUUAUUUAAAGGAAAAACAAGUCCCCCACCGCCAUUUUCUUUGUCAUGGUCAAGUAAAUUAUAAAAGGAAAAAUAAUUGCUUUUACACAGAAUUUUUUGUCAGAAGUCAAGUGUCAACUCUGCAUUAAUCUGUUUUAAUUUAUUUUUUCCAUCAUCCAAUCCAAGGAAGCCACCUCUCUUCCUGUCAAAUUUUCGUGUGAAACAUCCCGGCUUUUUUCUUAGUCUAUUGAUUCAACAAUUGCUUUUCUAAGUGCUUUCCCACCACCUUUACCAAGUCUAUUGUCAAUUUGAUCGUGGAAAAUUGAGAAAAUCAGGCAAGAUUGAAAGUUUUUACUGGCACCAUUGAAUUAUGAAUAAGCACAGAGCGAACUCUAUUGUGAUAUGGUAUUUACAUUUUAAAAUAUAUACACACUUCCAAUAAACAUUCUUUGUUGCAUUACAAGAAUAAAGUCAAGAAGAAUCUAUUCAUAUUGAAGCAUGACAUGUAAGAAAGCCAUUCGGAGACGCAUAAGCAAAUUUAUUAAAAAUUGGACUCUCAUUAAAUUUUCGAUUAUAAAAGAACAAUAAUUGAUGUUAGGUCCAUUGUUUCAAUUUCAAAGUGCUUUUCGACCUCCUCCUACCUUGACCAAGUCUGUUGUCUAUAAAAUAGCUUAUAUUCAAAUAUUUUUGAAUAAAUUAAUCUUUUAAAUUUAUUUAUUUUUUAUUGACUUUGUACAAAAAUGCAGGAGACGCCAUUUUGUUUUCUUUCGGCCAAGUUAGUACCCCACGGUGUAAUAUUUCCCAACGUAGUGUUGGGAAUCUACUUAAACAUGCAUAGCGAAAUUUAAAAUAAUUUUCGAUUCCCACCAAGAAUCGCCUUUGUGUUUAGAUAGAAAUUGUG